rnacentral:lncRNA from 1 species
UUGAUUCAUCGCCGCUAAGUGGUUAACUAAUACCGUUUCGGUAUAUGUUGAUUUUGGCUGAUGUCAUAUAGUUUAGGGUGAGAGUUUAAUUUUUUGUGAGUUUAGGUUGUUAUUUGCCGGAUAUCGUAGUUUGGGUAUAAAAAUACGGUCAGCAAAUAGUCUGUGUUGAUUUUAGCUAUUUUCCCCGGUUAAAACCUAUGUAUAUCCAAUGAAAUUAAAACAAUUAAUACAGCCCAUCCAACAUAUUGCCAAGCUGGAGCAUUAGAAAAAAAAAAUAAAAAAAAUCUUUUUUUUUUAUCUUCUAAAGUUCGAGCAUAAUAUUCAUUUUGAUGGGAAUCGAUUCGACUCGUGAGGGUCUACGAGUCUACAAAGAAGAAUGGUCCAGCUGUGGCGGAGGAAUAAGUUGCAAAGGUUGUGUGUACAUUGCAGCACGCUUCAAAGCAUCCAUUGGACCGAGGGGCUGUUCGUUUGGUAAACUGGAUGAGUUAUCAAGAUACAGUAUCUGAACGCGGUAUCCAAACGCAAUAUCCAAAUGAUGUUCGUUUCAGUUUUUG